GCCGGGCAUGGUGGUGCGCGCCUGUACUCCCAGCUACUCAGGAGGCUAAGGCAGGAGGAUCGCUUGAGCCCAGGAGUUCUGGGCUGUAGUGCGCUAUGCUGGUCGGGUGUCUGCACUAAGUUCGGCAUCAAUAUGGUGACCCCCCGGGAGAGGGGAGCCACCAGGUUGCCUGAGGAGGGGUAAAUCAGCACAGGUUGGAAACGGAGCAGGUCAAAACUCCCGUGCUGAUCAGCCUUCUGCCUAUUUUCACUGGAUUAUUUGUUUUUCAGAUAUGGAGUUUGGUGUGUUCCUUAU
rnacentral:SRP_RNA from 1 species